rnacentral:lncRNA from 1 species
UUCAACCGCUGGGGUUUCCUCAGUUUUGGAAGUAUCUUCCUCAGAUGCAGCAGUUGAAGAGGUCUUAACCUCAGUUUCUUUCACUGCAGCCACUGUGGUAGAUUUCUCUUCUUUCUCUUUCAGUAAAUAUUGCUGCAUGUUAGGAGUUCAAUAACAAUUUGUCAUUUUCCAAAAAAACCUCUCAGGUAAAAGAGAAUCUAAGAGGAAUACCAAAGCAAAUGGUUUUCGAUGUGUCCUAUAAUAACGGAGAAAUGGCUUUCCAACCAUAUACAAACUUUUUUAGUUUUAUGUCUCCUUACAAGAGAUUUUCAUUUUCACAUAAGUGACCUAAAAUGGUCAUUUUCUUGUAUUCAAAUUGUAACAGGCAAACUUUUUUUGGUUUUAUGUCUCCUUACAAGAGAUUUUCAUUUUCACAUAAGUGACCUAAAAUGGUCAUUUUCUUGUAUUCAAAUUGUAACAGGGCAAGAGUCUCAUUUACUCCCUAUAAUAUAGAGCUAUAAGAAAUCUCAGAGGCAUUGUCAAUAAAAAUAAUUUCCAUGAGAAUGCCCACAUUCAUCUAAAUAUCCAUUUAAAGGA